rnacentral:lncRNA from 1 species
AAGAGACUUUAACCAUAUCCUUUUGAAUGGUUAAAUAAUGCUUUAUCUAUAAAUAUUAAUUCUCACCUAUAUCGGUUCUGGGUAUAUUAGUAGUUUGGCUUUAAAUAUAACUCACAUGAUAAUUUUCACCUUCAUUUCUAGUUUUAGUUUGCUUUAUAUUAUCUAACCUUUAUUACUAUUAAAUUAGAUAGUUUCUGUUGUGGUUUUUAGAUAUAUUGUAUGACUUUGGACAAAUUUUAUAUGAAAACAACACAAUAUUGUUUAAUACGAGCCUUGCUUUGCAGAAAGUAAAUUCUCCAGUUAUGCACCUUUAGUAAAGUCAAAGUGAAGUAAAAUAACUUCAAACUUUUUAUUUAAUUUCAUUUGACCAAAGUCAUACUGUUUAGUGUAGAAUACGGAUAAUACAAUGGUGUUUUGUGAAAAAAUAUCUGAGUAAACAACUAAUCUUUGUUAUUACUUAAUUGUCUUUUAAUACUCUUAUUUGGGUUUACAAAUAAUAUUUUUGUUGGGCAACAAGCAGCUUAAGUAUUUUGUAACUUAAAACUCGUUAUUUUAGUCUUCAUUGUCUUAAAAGUUAUUAAUAAGUAUUAUCAGUUGUGACUAUUCUAAUUCAUGUGGUCAUGUUCAGCAGCAUGAGUAUUGUUUUCAGCCUCCCAGCAAUCAACAGAGAGUACCCCAGCUAGUGUUUUGAAGUCCCCUGCCAGUGAUGACCAUUCGUAUAGUGAAAAGUCCCCUGGCACAGUGCAGAAGAAGAAGCAGGUGAGAUCUGUUUCUGGGGUACCUAUGAAGACAAUAAGGAGUUUAUUUCUGCAGUCAACGUCAUCUGCAGGUGAAGAAACUAGCAAACAAUCUCCUGUUAGAACACAUCAGCCAUCCAUUACCAGUCAAGGUGAGCAGUCUACGUCUUCAAUCAGCUUCUCUAGAACAGGUGCAGGAUUGAUGUCUCUUGGGCAGCCGGCACCAGCUACUCAAG